rnacentral:rRNA from 1 species
GAUGAACGCUAGCGGCAGGCUUAACACAUGCAAGUCGAGGGGUAGAAGGAGCUUGCUCCUUUGAGACCGGCGCACGGGUGCGUAACGCGUAUGCAAUCUACCUUUUGCAGAGGGAUAGCCCAGAGAAAUUUGGAUUAAUACCUCAUAGUAUGUGAGGAUGGCAUCGUUUUCACAUUAAAGUCACAACGGCAAAAGAUGAGCAUGCGUCCCAUUAGCUAGUUGGUAAGGUAACGGCUUACCAAGGCUACGAUGGGUUGGGGUCCUGAGAGGGAGAUCCCCCACACUGGUACUGAGACACGGACCAGACUCCUACGGGAGGCAGCAGUGAGGAAUAUUGGACAAUGGGCGCAAGCCUGAUCCAGCCAUGCCGCGUGCAGGAUGACGGUCCUAUGGAUUGUAAACUGCUUUUAUACAGGAAGAAACACUACUUCGUGAAGUAGCUUGACGGUACUGUAAGAAUAAGGAUCGCUAACUCCGUGCCAG